CGGUAAUUCCAGCUCCAAUAGCGUACAUUAAAGUUGUUGCAGUUAAAAAGCUCGUAGUUGAAUUUUGGGUUUUUCAGCGGGGUCCACCUAACGGUGCGUUACUCUUAUGGCAAGCCUUUUUCCUGGACGCCCUGCUGCGUUUAACCGCGUGGUUGGGAAGGUCAGGACAUUUACUGUGAGGAAAUUAGAGUGUUCAAAGCAGGCGUUAUGCUCGAAUAUAUUAGCAUGGAAUAAUAGAAUAAGACGUAUGGUUUUAUUUUGUUGGUUUCUAGAACCGUCGUAAUGAUUAACAGGAGCAGUCGGGGGCGCUAGUACUCAUCAGUCAGAGGUGAAAUUCUUAAACCUGAUGAAGACUAACUACUGCGAAAGCAUUCGCCAAGGAUGUUUUCAUUAAUCAAGAACGAAAGUUGGGGGAUCGAAAACGAUCAGAUACCGUUGUAGUCUCAACCGUAAACGAUGCCGACUCGGGAUCGGAGGAGUGAAAUAAUUAGCUUUUUCGGCACCGUGUGAGAAAUCAAAGUUUUUGGGCUCUGGGGGGAGUAUGGUCGCAAGGCUGAAACUUAAAGGAAUUGACGGAAGGGCACCACCAGUAGUGGAGCCUGCGGCUUAAUUUGACUCAACACGGGGAAACUCACCAGGUCCAGACACAAUAAGGAUUGACAGAUUGAGAGCUCUUUCUUGAUUUUGUGGGUGGUGGUGCAUGGCCGUUCUUAGUUGGUGGAGUGAUUUGUCUGCUUAAUUGCGAUAACGAACGAGACCUUGACUCUUAAAUAGGGUGUAUAACAAUUUGUUGUAUGAUUCUUCUUAAGAGGACUAUCAGGAAAAACCUGAUGGAGGUUCGAGGCAAUAACAGGUCUGUGAUGCCCUUAGACGUUCUGGGCCGCACGCGCGCUACACUGAUACAGCCAGCGAGUCUAUACCCUUGUCCGAGAGGACUAGGUAAUCUUGUUAAACUGUAUCGUGCUGGGGAUAGAGCUUUGCAAUUUUUGCUCUUGAACGAGGAAUUCCUAGUAAGCGCAAGUCAUCAGC
rnacentral:rRNA from 1 species